GUGUAGUCAAGUGGUCCUCAGAGUGUAGGUGUAGUCAAGUGUGGUCCUCAGAGUGUAGGUGUUGUCAAGUGUGGUCCUCAGAGUGUAGAUGUGGUCAAGUGUGGUCCUCAGAGUGUAGAUGUGGUCAAGUGUGGUCCUCAGAGUGUAGGUGUAGUCUAGUGUGGUCCUCAGAGUGUAGGCUGUGGUCAAGUGUGGUCCUCAGAGUGUAGAUGUGGUCCUCAGUGUAGGUGUGGUCAAGUGUGGUCCUCAGUGUAGGUGUGGUCAAGUGUGGUCCUCAGUGUAGGUGUGGUCAAGUGUGGUCCUCAGUGUAGGUGUGGUCAAGUGUGGUCCUCAGAGUGUAGGUUUGGUCAAGUGCAACACAGUGACUAAGAUGAUUCCGGUGCGAUAAACCUUCCGGGCUCGGCAAUUACUGAUGUUCAUUAUCGACAUCUAAGAUGUAUGAUUGAUUUGUGAGAGCUGAAAAUAUUAAUAAAUACGGUAACG